CCUACGGGGGGCUGCAGUAGGGAAUAUUGGACAAUGGGCGCAAGCCUGAUCCAGCCAUGCCGCGUGAGUGAAGAAGGCCCUCGGGUUGUAAAGCUCUUUUGUCCGGAAAGAAAAGCAAUCGGUUAAUACCCGGUUGUUCUGACGGUACCGGAAGAAUAAGCACCGGCUAACUUCGUGCCAGCAGCCGCGGUAAUACGAAGGGUGCAAGCGUUGCUCGGAAUUACUGGGCGUAGUGCGUUCGGUCGUGGGUGAAAGCCCUGGGCUCAACCUGGGAAUGGCAUUUGAUACUGGCGGUCUAGAGUGCGGUAGAGGGUAGUGGAAUUCCCGGUGUAGCAGUGAAAUGCGUAGAGAUCGGGAGGAACAGCUGUGGCGAAGGCGACUGCCUGGACCAGCACUGACACUGAGGCACGAAAGCGUGGGGAGCAAACAGGAUUAGAUACCCCGGUAGUC
rnacentral:rRNA from 1 species